rnacentral:lncRNA from 1 species
GUGCCGCUUAACUACUGACAUUUUUUUUUCACAGAAUAUUUAUAACUUGCAGUUUCGGUUAUAGAAACAGACCGAUAAGAGAACUUUUUUUAUUCCUUCCUGUCCAGAUGUUACAAAAUAAGCAUUUGUUCGUUGUGUAAACCUGAACAGCAUGUUGGAGCAAUUUUGAAGCUGCUUUCUUUUGAAUCCAUGAACAUAUAUUAAACAAGACGUAAAAAGAUAUUAUCAUCACGAGUAAAUUUUUUAAAAAAUCCAAGAACCACUUCUUUUUGCUUUUACUUUAUUCCUUACCAAAAUGUUACAAAUAUUUGACCUCUAAAAUAAGUUGUUAUCGAAUAUAAUAAGGAGACCGGGAAAGGUUUACUUAACCAAGAAAUGUUUAGUUCACUUAGAGUUUUUACUUCCACUCAAACAUGUCUCACAGGGUAUACAUGUAUCAAGUUAAUUCCUUCUAAAGUUCCAACGAUUUUUUAUACGUUUUUACAAAUAACACAUGUCAUCCUUUUAAAUUCUAAU